UUUUAACAGAUAAUCUGACUGACCACCACAGCCAUGAAAUCUACAACGAGCUGGACUGGCGUCCUGCAUCUGCUGAUGUGGUUUCACUUCAAGUUAGCGCUUGCUAGUGCGCCGUCCUCGAUAUGACAGCAUGUAUGUCUGUGUGGAGGAGCCGCUAGGCCUACUUUUGCGUCGGUUGCUGUCGAGUUUUGUUGGCUAUCUUGCCACCCAAGUUUCAAGCAACAUUAUGUAACUUUCUACCAUAAAAUAAAUAAAACAGCUGGUGGAAAGAGGGUAGCAUCACUGGGCUCAGCAGCCUCUGUGGACACAAUGUUUGCCAAUGACGGACGGAAGAGGAUAUUGACAGGAGGAAGCUAGGAAAACAGAGUGACCAAGCAUGAGGGAGGCUCCCAGACAUUGAAAAGAACUUCUCGAAGUAAAGGGCUGCAAGACAGAUACCGAGCUGGCAUUCUUUCUGUUGGGCUAUGGUAUCUGGUUGGAAAGGCCAUGUGAGUGAGUGACUUGCGAAGGCAACACAGUACCUGGAUGAAAUUAUGUUAGAGAUCCUGUGUGUUUGUGAUGGCUUCUUCCUACUUCCACAGGCCUUUGAAGCCCAAGACUGAAAUUAAAGAUCUCCAGAUAUAAUCCUUUCCUUGCAGCACUUGGGUCUUCUUUUUCCAUCUUGCUCAGCAGUUUAACUUCACAGACUUUGCUACGCACAGUAACAUGUACUUUUGUAUAGCACUGUAAGUUGCAUUUUAUUGUAUGUUACACAUGGAGAUGCAUAAUCGAUGAAGAUCAUCUGCCCCAUCAAAUGGUUACAUUUUACUUGAAUUCUUCAGUUACCCAUUGGGUUUACUUUCUCUCAAACAGCUAAAUAGCCUUAUGUUUCUUGAAGAUAACACUUCAGAUGAUGUUAUUGCAGUUUGCCUUUGCCUUGCAAAUUGUAAUUUUGAUCUACGUUAAUUUUAGAGGUAAGUUUUCCGCUUAAAAGUUUGGGCCAACUGAGAAAAAAGUAAUUUUUUGUUAUUGCUAGAAGUUUUUCAUAUGCUGAGUUUGUGACCGCCAACUACAGAUAAUAAUCCCACUCAGAUGACAGAAUAAAAUAUAUCUCCUG